rnacentral:rRNA from 1 species
GCGCAGCAGGCGCGAAUACUUUACAAUGUGCGAAAGCACGAUAAGGGAACUCUGAGUGCCUCCUAAGGAGGCUGUUCAGGUGUCUAAAAGCACCUGAAGGAAGGGCUGGGUAAGACCGGUGCCAGCCGCCGCGGUAACACCGGCAGCCCAAGUGGUAGCCACGUUUAUUGGGUCUAAAGCGUCCGUAGCCGGCUGGGUAAGUUCCUUGGGAAAUUUGGCUGCUUAACAGUCAAGCUUUCAGGGAAUACUGCCCGGCUUGGGACCGGGAGAGGUCAGAGGUACUCCAGGGGUAGGGGUGAAAUCCAUUAAUCCUUGGGGGACCACCGGUAGCGAAGGCGUCUGACCAGACCGGGUCCGACGGUGAGGGACGAAGGCUAGGGGCGCGAACCGGAUUAGAUACCCCCGUAGU